UACGAAGGGGGCUAGCGUUGUUCGGAAUUACUGGGCGUAAAGCGUGCGCAGGCGGUUUUGUAAGCCAGAUGUGAAAGCCCCGGGCUUAACCUGGGAAUGGCAUUUGGGACUGCAAGGCUUGAGUGCGGCAGAGGAGACUGGAAUUCCUGGUGUAGCAGUGAAAUGCGUAGAGAUGUGGAGGAACACCGAUGGCGAAGGCAGCCCCCUGGGUCAAGAUUGACGCUCAUGCACGAAAGCGUGGGGAGCAAACAGG
rnacentral:rRNA from 1 species